CGGCGAGUGAAGCGGGAACAGCUCAAAUUUGAAAUCUGGCCCUUGGGUCCGAGUUGUAAUUUGUAGAGGAUGCUUUUGGUGCGGUGCCUUCCGAGUUCCCUGGAACGGGACGCCUUAGAGGGUGAGAGCCCCGUACGGUUGGACGCCUAGCCUCUGUAAAGCUCCUUCGACGAGUCGAGUAGUUUGGGAAUGCUGCUCUAAAUGGGAGGUAUAUUUCUUCUAAAGCUAAAUACUGGCCAGAGACCGAUAGCGCACAAGUAGAGUGAUCGAAAGAUGAAAAGCACUUUGAAAAGAGGGUUAAAUAGCACGUGAAAUUGUUGAAAGGGAAGCGUUUAUCACCAGACUUUUUCUGGGGGGAUCAUCCGGUGUUCUCACCGGUGCACUUCCCCCAGUUGAGGCCAGCAUCGGUUUUCGGAGGGGGAUAAAAGUUUCGGGAAUGUGACUCCCUCGGGAGUGUUAUAGCCCGUUACAUAAUACCCUUCUGGGGACCGAGGUUCGCGCAUCUGCAAGGAUGCUGGCAUAAUGGUGAUCAACGACCCGUCUUGAAACACGGACCAAGGAGUCGAACAUUUAUGCGAGUGUUUGGGUGUUAAACCCUCACGCGUAAUGAAAGUGAACGGAGGUGAGAGCCCUUACGGGUGCAUCAUCGACCGAUCCUGAUGUCUUCGGAUGGAUUUGAGUAAGAGCAUAACUGUUCGGACCCGAAAGAUGGUGAACUAUGCGUGGAUAGGGUGAAGCCAGGAGAAAUCCUGGUGGAGGCUCGCAGCGGUUCUGACGUGCAAAUCGAUCGUCAAAUCUGCGCAUGGGGGCGAAAG
rnacentral:rRNA from 1 species